rnacentral:rRNA from 1 species
GAUGAACGCUGGCGGCGUGCCUAAUACAUGCAAGUCGAGCGAACAGAUGAGGAGCUUGCUCCUCUGACGUUAGCGGCGGACGGGUGAGUAACACGUGGAUAACCUACCUAUAAGACUGGGAUAACUUCGGGAAACCGGAGCUAAUACCGGAUAAUAUAUUGAACCGCAUGGUUCAAUAGUGAAAGAUGGUUUUGCUGUCACUUAUAGAUGGAUCCGCGCCGCAUUAGCUAGUUGGUAAGGUAACGGCUUACCAAGGCAACGAUGCGUAGCCGACCUGAGAGGGUGAUCAGCCACACUGGAACUGAGACACGGUCCAGACUCCUACGGGAGGCAGCAGUAGGGAAUCUUCCGCAAUGGGCGAAAGCCUGACGGAGCAACGCCGCGUGAGUGAUGAAGGUCUUCGGAUCGUAAAACUCUGUUAUUAGGGAAGAACAAAUGUGUAAGUAACUAUGCACGUCUUGACGGUACCUAAUCAGAAAGCCACGGCUAACUACGUG